UCAUGUUCUGCAGCUACCAGCAGGCAGGAUGGUGUACCUGAAGUAAGAUGCAGCAAGUGUUCAGGUGAAUCUCCAGAGCCUGAUCCAGACCACAGUUCCCACUAGUCAAAGGAGCAACGAAAAGCUCCUCCUCACAGGUUCUUCUUAGAGAAGUAACACUAUUUUGGGGGAAAAGAAGGUUUCUUCUGGCUGCAUCGCUGGUGUUUUUUCAUACCUUCUGCACGCUAACUCACCCGGAAGCCUCCUCGUCCACGUUGACAUCAUGUGACAGGAAGUCAAAGCUGCAGAGAACUUCCUCAACAGCCAAGGUGUCUUCUGAUGAUGAGUUUCUCAUCAGGGAUAGGUCAUUCUGAAGGAGACACUGUUUGGACUCGGACCUACAUUAGACCCCGCCCCCCCCCCCAGGACUCGGUAAGGUCCGGCUCACCCGCAGUAUGGUGGAUAAGUGGACUAUCUGCUGAUUCAGGACCCGCAGCUCCUUGUCAUAGCUGCUCUGGUUCUGCAAGGUUGUCUCCAGGUCCACGAUCAGCAUUCCCAGUCGUAGCGCCUGCUCUUGAAUUCCACUCGCUGAGGGGUGUGUGGCAGCCUGGGGUGAGUCAGGGGAAGCGUCCUGUGACAUGUGACGUAUUAGCGAUAAAAUUCUGAAAGUAGAACGCAAGAGAAGACUGACAAACUGACCUGCUCACUGAUGGUAUCCUGACGUGGCUCCACCCCCUGAGUCUCAGAUUGUGGAUCUGUGCUGGCUUUGAGGAUGUCAGGGGUGCCACACCUGAAGAUGGAAAUGGUCCGUCACGGAAGAUGGUUUACACUUAGCGGCAUACACCUCCUCCCACGCCUCUUCCUCCUCGCUCAGCCUCCUCCUCUCCAUGGUGUCCUCCCCCUCCUCCCCAAGGGACACAUGGGUCCGGCUCCCCCUCAGACUGGUGUCCCGGCUGGUGACCUCCAUCUGCAGCUUGAUGGUUCCCAGCUCGGUGAUGUCCACCAGCAUCAGCUGAGGACUGGCUACAAAGAAGUGAGCACUGGCGCAGGUUACCGUGCCAACCAGAAGCCAGCCCAAACCCUUGGCUUCCGACACCUGGCGAGGGCACGAUAGAGGUCAUGGGAUGCAGGAGAUGUCCAUAUACAGGGUGGACGGAUGAUGACCUUGAUCUCAAAGUUGUGGUUAAUAUGCGGGAGGAAGACCAUCUCCUCUUCAUCCCAAGACUGGACAUCGUCACUUUCAAUCCUGCCUCGGAUCCUCCAGCGCUGACGACCCAACUGCAGCAGCACCUGCACACAGUUUCCUCUUGAAGCAAUCUUUGGAAUCCAUCUUCAGUUAGAUCUUGGAGAUGAAGGUCCUGCGGUAAGGCUUACCUCAUACUGGUCUCCGGGACAGAGUCGAGCAAAGCCGAUGAGACCUGCGAGAGAAAAUACAUGAACACCGUCCGCGCUGGGUGAUGGACGGGUACUGGUCUACCUUUCAUUUUCACAUGCAGUUCUCCCAGGAGGACCUCCAGCUCACCCUCCAUGGCCGACAUGUCCUGCAGGGAGACCGAGGAUCAGAACCACAUACCGCUACAUACCUCUACAUGUGCCACAUGCUACAUGUUGAUACCUUCUACAUGUGCUACAUGCUACAUGUUGAUACCUUCUACAUACGCUACAUGCUACAUGUUCAUAUCUUCUACAUGUGCUACAUGCUACAUGUUGACACCUGCUCCAUGCUACAUGUUGAUACAUGCUGCAUGUUGAUAUAAUGUAUAUGUGCUACAUGUUCAUAUCUUCUACAUGUGCUUCAUGCUACAUGUUCAUAGCUUCUACAUAUGCUACAUGUUACAUGUUCAUAUCCUCUACAUGUGCUACAUACUACAUGUUGACACCUGCUCCUUGCUACAUGUUGAUACAUGCUACAUGUUGAUACAUGCUACAUGUUGAUAUAAUGUAUAUGUGCUACAUGCCACAUGUGCUGCAUGCUAAAUGUUGAUACAUGCUACAUGUUGAUACAUGCUACAUGUUGAUAUAAUGUAUAUGUGCUACAUGCCACAUGUGCUACAUGCCACAUGUGCUACAUGCUAAAUGUUGAUACAUGCUACAUGUUCAUAUCUUCUACAUGUGCUACAUACUACAUGUUGAUACCUGCUACAUGUGCUACAUGCUAAAUGUUGAAACAUGCUACAUGUUCAUAUCUUCUACAUGUGCUACAUACUACAUGUUGAUACCUGCUGCAUGUGCUACAUGCUACAUGUUUAUAUCUUCUACAUGUGCUUCAUGCUACAUGUUCAUAUCUUCUACAUGUGCUACAUGCUACAUGUUGAUACCUGCUACAUGUGCUACAUGCUAUAUGUUCAUAUCUUCUACAUGUGCUUCAUGCUACAUGUUUAUAUCGUCUACAUGUGCUUCAUGCUACAUGUUCAUAUGUUCUACAUGUGCUUCAUGCUACAUGUUCAUAUCUUCUACAUGUGCUUCAUGCUACAUGUUCAUAUGUUCUACGUGUGCUUCAUGCUACAUGAUACCUCUACAUGUGCUACAUGCUACAUGUUGACACCUGCUCCAUGCUACAUGUCGAUACAUGCUACAUGUUGAUAUAAUGUCUCUCUCUGCCUGAACAGCCUGAACCAAAAAGUCCCAGCCCACCCUACCGACCUGCAUGCUGUGUCUGUGGUUGCGGCCCAGCUCCAAAAGACUCUCCCUGGAUGCUCUGGAGGACGGCGAGAGCGAGAAAGCUUGUUUCAUGUUGACCACUCCCUGACACAGGCGCCACUGGACGCAGUAGUUCUCGUAGAGUUCUUCCACCUGCGAACACACGGAGACACGUGGAGCGACACGGGCGCAUGAGCAGCGUGGACGGACGUGCACACGUUUACCUUGCUGAUUUGGAAUUCCAGUCUUCGUACAUGUCUCUCCUGUGCUCGUAUCUCCUGUGGGUGCAAAGACGGGUGAAGAUGAUGUGAGGGACGUGCUGGGAGAAAGAUAAGCAAGAGUCACCUUGUCCAGGUCGUACAGGAAGGCCUGCAGGAAAGGCAGAGAUAGGCUUAUUGGGAGGAGGCGUGACAUUGCUUGGUUAUCACUGUCACUUUCAUAGGAGCAUAUCCUUUCCAUGUUUAUCCUUAAUGGUUGCGGCGUUUGAGCGGCUCGGACCGUUGAUGCUUCCACUUUCUGAACAUUGUUCCUUGGUGUAACAACACACGACUACAUAUUUCCGAAUUCAUAAUUUAUGCUCUUGCGUAACCAUGAAACGUCGUAACAUGGAAAGUCGUAACACGAGGACCACGUGUGUGUUUGAUGUUUGAUGUUUGAGCUCACCAGUCUGGAGUUUCUUUUACUCUCUCGCUGGCGUGAGGACAGGAAGUCCAUCUCAGCCUGGUGGCGCUGCACAUGCUCUCUGCACACACAGAAACACACACACAUUCACAUGUUUGUGUGAACCUUGAUAGAGAGACCUCAGACCUGAUACUUAAAGGGGACCUGUAAUGGGGACCUUUUUCCACUUUUCUGACAUGCAAAAUUGUAUUCUUGUGUUAAAGCAUUUUCGAGGAAACCACGAAAUCCAAAAAAAUACAGCUGAAUAGGUGCAGAUUCUGGAAGCACUAGAAAGCUUUGGUGCUAUAGGAGUCCACAAGUUAAUACAAAAGGCCGAAAAAUUAGUUUAAUAGGUCCCCUUUAAGGCUUUAGAUCUUAGACCUCAAUGCUGUGUGGGCAGAAGAUGGCAGCCCCGUGCCCCCGGCCCCCCGGUCCCCCGCCCCCAGUAAUACACCUGAGGCCUUUGCGUAGCGCCUGAAAGACCCGGUCCACCUCUUCUGGCUGCAGGGACAAGGCGGAUCCAAAUCCUCUCCUGGAAGACAAAGGGGCUCUUGGAGUUUUUCCUCCAGACACGACUUUGGAGCGCAGUGAAUUCCGAGCAGAGGAAUGCCUUAAAAGACAAAGAUAGCUGAGCGGAAAGGCUUUUUAAUGUUAGAGCCGAAUCCAGUGAAGGAGCGACUCCGCUGGAUUGAACUUCCGGGAGAGUCAAAUCGCAGCUUCACCGACAUCCUGAAAACAUGGAAAGUUUCAGUCAGAUGUUCUGUUUCCUGUUCCCGACUCAAUAACACAAACGUCAGCUGACCAACCACAAGACCUUCAAAUGGACACACAGGAACACACACACAUCUAACAUGCUUUGCGUCAAAUGGACUACUUCUGCCAGUAGACCUCAAUAAGUGUAUUGAGUAUUCUUAGUGUCACGCUAUCAUGGUUUAUCCCAAAAUACUGUACAUUUACUCAUGAAUGACCAAAACCAUUUGGGGGUUAAGGGCCGCACAGUGGUUCGCAAUGUAGGCUACAAAGUCAGGAGAUCGGGAAGGCCUGGGUUCGAAUCUCAUCGCUUGCACUGUAAAAAAAUCCAAGUUGACUCAACUUUAAAAAAAUUAGUAACGUUGCUGCCUUAAAAUUUUGAUUAAAUCUAGCUAAUUAUUUCAGGUCAUUUCAACUCACAACAAAGUUUCUCCAACUUAAAAGAUCAAGUUCACUUAACUUAUUGAUUUGUUUUGGGAACUUUCUUUAUUAGGUCAAAUACUUAAGUACUUCGGUGGUGCAUUAUUUAAAAAAAACAACAACCUUAAACUGUAUUAUGGAAAGCAGGAAGUGAACAAAUGUAACAGUUACUGAUUGUAAAAGUACCAGAUGGAGGGGUAGGAUUUGCUUCUUCCUACUCCUUUUGGACAUGUGGAACUGUGAACUGAUUAUGGGAUGCACUCAAUUGUAAUCUGAUGCAUGUUCAAAUGAAAUAAAACCAUUACCAUUACCAUUACCAUUACCAUUUUUGUUGUAUCAACAAUAGAACUCAAGUAAUCUCAACUCACUUUUGAUUUAGUCUAACUAAUUAGCUCAAGUUAAUUCAACUCACAAUUAAAUUGAAAUUAAUUAAUUGAAAUAAUGUGUUAACCUGAUUUGAAAAUGAGUUGAGAUUACUUGAUUGACAUUUUUGAUACAACCAAAA